rnacentral:rRNA from 2 species
AGUCGAACGAACUCUGGUAUUGAUUGGUGCUUGCAUCAUGAUUUACAUUUGAGUGAGUGGCGAACUGGUGAGUAACACGUGGGAAACCUGCCCAGAAGCGGGGGAUAACACCUGGAAACAGAUGCUAAUACCGCAUAACAACUUGGACCGCAUGGUCCGAGCUUGAAAGAUGGCUUCGGCUAUCACUUUUGGAUGGUCCCGCGGCGUAUUAGCUAGAUGGUGAGGUAACGGCUCACCAUGGCAAUGAUACGUAGCCGACCUGAGAGGGUAAUCGGCCACAUUGGGACUGAGACACGGCCCAAACUCCUACGGGAGGCAGCAGUAGGGAAUCUUCCACAAUGGACGAAAGUCUGAUGGAGCAACGCCGCGUGAGUGAAGAAGGGUUUCGGCUCGUAAAACUCUGUUGUUAAAGAAGAACAUAUCUGAGAGUAACUGUUCAGGUAUUGACGGUAUUUAACCAGAAAGCCACGGCUAACUACGUGCCAGCAGCCGCGGUAAUACGUAGGUGGCAAGCGUUGUCCGGAUUUAUUGGGCGUAAAGCGAGCGCAGGCGGUUUUUUAAGUCUGAUGUGAAAGCCUUCGGCUCAACCGAAGAAGUGCAUCGGAAACUGGGAAACUUGAGUGCAGAAGAGGACAGUGGAACUCCAUGUGUAGCGGUGAAAUGCGUAGAUAUAUGGAAGAACACCAGUGGCGAAGGCGGCUGUCUGGUCUGUAACUGACGCUGAGGCUCGAAAGUAUGGGUAGCAAACAGGAUUAGAUACCCUGGUAGUCCAUACCGUAAACGAUGAAUGCUAAGUGUUGGAGGGUUUCCGCCCUUCAGUGCUGCAGCUAACGCAUUAAGCAUUCCGCCUGGGGAGUACGGCCGCAAGGCUGAAACUCAAAGGAAUUGACGGGGGCCCGCACAAGCGGUGGAGCAUGUGGUUUAAUUCGAAGCUACGCGAAGAACCUUACCAGGUCUUGACAUACUAUGCAAAUCUAAGAGAUUAGACGUUCCCUUCGGGGACAUGGAUACAGGUGGUGCAUGGUUGUCGUCAGCUCGUGUCGUGAGAUGUUGGGUUAAGUCCCGCAACGAGCGCAACCCUUAUUAUCAGUUGCCAGCAUUAAGUUGGGCACUCUGGUGAGACUGCCGGUGACAAACCGGAGGAAGGUGGGGAUGACGUCAAAUCAUCAUGCCCCUUAUGACCUGGGCUACACACGUGCUACAAUGGAUGGUACAACGAGUUGCGAACUCGCGAGAGUAAGCUAAUCUCUUAAAGCCAUUCUCAGUUCGGAUUGUAGGCUGCAACUCGCCUACAUGAAGUCGGAAUCGCUAGUAAUCGCGGAUCAGCAUGCCGCGGUGAAUACGUUCCCGGGCCUUGUACACACCGCCCGUCACGCCAUGAGAGUUUGUAACACCCAAAGUCGGUGGGGU